rnacentral:rRNA from 1 species
UACGAAGGGGGCUAGCGUUGUUCGGAAUUACUGGGAGUAAAGCGCGCGUAGGCGGUCAUCUUUGUCAGAGGUGAAAGCCCGGGGCUCAACUCCGGAAUUGCCUUUGAAACGGGAUUGCUAGAGUCCGAGAGAGGAUGGCGGAAUUCCUAGUGUAGAGGUGAAAUUCGUAGAUAUUAGGAAGAACACCGGUGGCGAAGGCGGCCAUCUGGCUCGGUACUGACGCUCAGGCGCGAAAGCGUGGGGAGCAAACAGG